rnacentral:tRNA from 1 species
UAAAGGUUUUAUAGAGCUGCUAACUCUAUUUUAGGUUCCCUACCUUUAA